rnacentral:lncRNA from 1 species
UGCUUUCCCCAGCUUCCAGACCCUCUCCCCUCCUGCUGUGUUUCUCCUCUGGGUCUUUGUCACAUCCAGCCACUGCCUACUUGCUGGGCACAGCUCGCCUGACCCCCAGCUCUGUGCUGUCCCACAAAGAACCCAAGGCUCUCCUGCUCAACCUGACCUUGGCCGGAGGCUUAUUUCUGCUUCUCUGCUUCUGCCUCACAGUCCUCUCCCUCAAAGCCCUUGCUGCUUCAAGCCUUGGGAAUUCAUGGCCAAGCACAGACCACAUCUUCCCAGAGCAGAUGUGGCACAGACUUGGGGUGGGGAAAAAGAGGAGGCAAGAAUCCAUGCCUCACAAUGUGAAGGAAAGGCCUGGGGCCAGGCCAAAAAGGUCGUCUCCACGCCCUGUGCCACGGCCCAGCUCUCCACAGCCCGCGGCCUGAGUGUAGGCCAGCCCAGCAGGAAACAGAUAGCAGAGUCCACUUGUGGGAGGGAGUCUGAGGGGCUUCCCCUGGGCCCCCAGCCCCCUGCAGGCCUCCUCCCAGAACCCUGACAUCUACUUAGAAGACUUACAGACAGUGGAGAGUCUCUGGCCCUCACACCAGGGGACUCCCAUGUCCUCUUCGCUGCUGGGGUGCCUGGAUGCCUGGGACCUGAAGGGUGGCCCCCAAGUCCAAGACUCCUCUGCCCACUGCCCCUGCCUGGCCUUGGCAGGCUCCUUGCGGGCCAGCAGCCCAGCCGAUUCAUGCUUGCUGCAGGCCUCCUUUUACCUUGUAACAUUUCAAACGCCCUUCCCUUCCCGGCCCCCAACACGCGCAAUCCACGUCCUCUUUCUUCCUCCCACUUCCCUGAUUCAGCUGUCAAAUGGUGACAGCAAAAAAGAAAUGAGGUACCCUAGACACAGGGGGUAGGCAUGCCGGAGGGGGUGGUCGGGAGGGGGCUGGCCUUCUGCUGGCCCCUUGGGGAGGAGGGUUGAGAUGAAGAACAAGAACGGCUCUCAGAGGCUCAGAAGGCCUCCCAGCACCCGCCCUUGCUCUGGGCAGUGGGGACAGGGGCUGGCUCUUUUUUGAGCUCCUCCAUGGCCAGCUGAUCCUGGCGCCUCCUUCCCUGCAGCCUGCGCUCCUCUCCAGAGUGGGUGGGUUUCCCCGAGGAGGAGGCCAAUUAGGGCUGGGAAAUGGGUUGGCUCCUGUGCUCAGGAGAGAGUGGAGGGGAGCAGGAACCUGGGAAUCCCUAACAUGCUUGCGGGCAGUGACCCGGAGACUGGCCUCUGCCUCACCCCCCACACCAGUCAGUGUUUCCACUGGUGGGUAGUGGGGGCCCUGGGGACACAGGAGGGGGCAGGUGGGGGUUGGAAAGAGGGCCCGGCUCUGGGCCUAUGCUGAUUGUUAUCAAGAACAGGAAGCUAGGACACCACAGGGGUGGGAGGAGGAAGCGGCAAAGCCCUCCCCACACAGGUCUGCCUGGUCCCCCCAAGUUUCCAGGGUCUGAGCCCUGUUGGCUGUGAGCCUACCCUUUGCCCCCACAGACCGAGGCCUAGGGCCGUACAGUUGGAAGCUGAGCUUCACAGCAAGGAAGCUGGGAGCCAGGAGAUGGGGAAGAUAGUUGGGGGCAGGUGGGGUAGUGGCUGAGCAUGAGGCAAGACCUCUCAAGGAUCCCCCGUUCCCUCUGGCUGGGUGUGGGGACAGUCACUCCUUGGCUCCUGCCCACUCCUUCUUCUCCUGUGCUUAGAGAUGCCUGGACGUCCAUGGAGGUGUGUGGCCAGAGCUCAUGCGGGCUGAGGGUGCCGACUGCAACCUCAGAUGGGACAAAACAUGCGUCGUCGCCCUGCACCACCCACUCCCCAGCCUGGCCUGGUGACUUGGGACGCCCCUUUCUGCCCUCUCUGGAGUGGAUUCCGUCCCAUCUGGGCUGCUGGGAGGCUCCUGGGAGUGACUCCCUCUCCCCUCCAGAACCUUCCCACCCGUGGUCCCAGCAGCUGUCAAACUUCCAUCACUCGAAUUGAUUUGUGUUCCUGGGUUGAGAUUUAGGUUCUAGCCACCCUCGUCUCCAGAGAAAGUAUAGUAAUCGUUGGAAAUCAGAAAGAUCUGUGCAUAAUGAGUCUAAACGUAGCUUAUUAACUGUGUGACUUUGGGCAAAUUGCUGAGUCUCAGUCUCCUCCUCAGCUUCCUCCCUCCACUGGGGGAUGAUCAUAGCACCUUCCUUGUCAGCCCAUGGAGUGAUUUGCUCCCGGAGGAGAGGUUGGGAGUCAGUAGCCAGAGGAGCGAGGAGCUGGGAGGAGCUGGCUGGGGAAGUGGGCCUGGGAGCAGCACAGGGUGAGGAGGUCACGGCUGCCGGGUCUCACCUCUCGACAGCCUCCCUCUUCCUCCUCAUUGCUGACUUUCUCCCCGAAGCAGGGCUGCUGGGGCGCUUCCACCAGAGCACUGAGGAAGUUCAGGAAGGAGUCACUCCCAGGGGUCUCCCAGCAUCCUGGGUGGGACAGAGUCCACACCAGGGAGGACAAAGAGGGCAGGCCAGGCUGGGGAGGGACUGAUGCAGGGCAUGACGCAUCCUGAGAGUCAGGCCUUGUCCCAUCUGAGGCUGUGGUGGGUGCCCUCAGCCCUCCCGAGCUCUGGCCACACAUGUCUUGACUCUCUUGUUUCCCCCUCUAGUGAUUCCCAGUUCCAGGGCUAUGAGCUGCAGCUCCCUGCCCCAAGUGUCAGAAGCCCCCCGCCCAGGGGAAAGGCGGCCAUUACAUCUAGAAUUCUCAGAAGUCUUUGCUCCUUGCUAGCCCCUAAGGAGUAGGGAGCUCCUUGCUAGGGUGCAGUUGGCUCCCAGAGGCAAAGGCUGCCACCCUCUAAUUAUCCAAGAGGAGGAUCCUGGGGAGAGAGUCAGCUGCUGGGGGCCAGGACUCCUGGGUCCUGCACACUCCACCUGCUCUGCCCCCUUCCUAGCUGCCCUCUCUGGAGAAGCACUAGGAUCCUGGGCGGCUGCUCCUCCAUCCUUCUUGCCCCCAAAAUCCUAGGCCAGCCUGAGCCGGCUCGUUCUGCCCCAACUUUAUAGGCCCAGGCUUGUUGCUGUUUGUGUGGGGGAGACAGAAACACUGAGAACUGGAUCUGGGAGGCCUCAUCCCGGAGGAAGCAGGGAGACAGCAGGGGAGACAGGGUGAGUGGGGCAGGGAAGUGCUGUUAGGGGCAUGGGAUGGGUCCGGGCUGACCAGAGUGACAACUGCACCCCUGUCUCAAAGCUGCACCCCUGUGCCGGGCCAGCUAGGACCUCCUGCUACCUUUUGGGUGAAGGGGAACAUCCCAUACCCCUUACCCCUGGCUGGGAGGACCAGCAAUCCAGCCCUGCUCGGCACUGGGCCAUCUUGCCAGGAGGUCCAGGAAAGUACCUGGUUCUUUGCCCGUUGCUGGAACUCAGGACCCUGGCAGGAAGGCUUUAGGGUAGAAGAGUCCCUCCCUCUCUCCCAAGCCCAGAGCCAGCCAAAUGGACAUCUAUUCUACAAUGUGGCCUUUUCUUCCCAGGGGCUCCCGUCUCCCUCCCGCUCUGUGUUGUCCCUGGACACCCACUCAUGCAUCCAUCAAGACAGAUGUGUACACCCUCAUGGCCCACAUUUGCACAAAUGCACAUGCACAGUGUCAAUCCACACGUGACCAGCCCCUCCCCUGCUCUCCCAUGACCUGGUCAGGGGGAACUAGGCCUUCCCCCACUCCCUGGCCACCUUCCCCAUAGUAUAGGCAGCAGGGGGAGUGGGCGGCCUGGCUGUCCUGAGCCACCCCACCCCUCUGCUGCCCGGUGAUUAUCUUCCUCCAGUGUGGGGGCUGCCCAAGGCCUGGCUUCAGGCUGUGAGAGAGCAGGGAGGAGCCGGAAGAGCGCUGCCCGGGACAGCUGUAGGCCAGGCCAGUUCACAUUUGGGAGCCAGGACUCCUGGACCUGCCCCUUGCCCUCUCCUCUGCCUCCUGGCUGGCUCUCUCCAGAAGGAAUCAGUAAGGUUCCGAAUUAGGGCGCCUCCACCCCGCCUCUCCCCUUUUUGGUUGCUGAUCAAGGCCACCAGAAAGAACAAAGUGAGAUGUCCGCAGGUGAAGUGGGAUGAGGAUGGGAUGAGAAGGUACGUCGUUUUCCCCACCUCUUGGUCACACUGGGACCUGGGACUGCUUCCCUUUCACAUCAGUUUCCCUGGUUGCAACCGCCCCCCGCCCCCGCCUUUCAAAAGAGCACAUAUGCGCAGGCGCACACACAGCCUGGAAAAUCUCCUGAGUCUGCAGUGCUGAGUUUCCAGGCCCCCAUCCAGGGGCCGGGUGGGCGGCUCUGAGGUUUGGGGCUGCGUGGAGCGGGGGAGGGGCAAGCAGCCCCUGGCUGUGGCCUGAGCAGGCAGCCGGGCUGAGCUGGGGCAGGCUUGUCCUUCCUGCUGGGGCAGGCCCAGGAGAAUCCAGCUACCCCAGAGGCUGCCUUGGUGUUCAGACUUCCAUACCCGUGUGUUUUCCACACAUCCCCUCUCCCCACUUCCUGAGUUUGUUCUGAGUCCUAGGCUUCACUCCCAGGGCCCAAAGCCUUUUCUUCCGUUCUCCCUCCUCAUCCUCAGUUGUCUGUGGGUGGGAGCACCUGGGUGAGCAGCUCGGGGUGACUCGGGUUGUAGUCAGGAGUAAAGCAAAGCCCUAACUUCGUUAUCUUUGAGGCCAGGCCUCAGGCAGGCUUGCCUGGGUUCCAGCAGUGCCCAAAGCCAGGUGGAGGUUGGGAGGGGCCCGGGGAACCAGGAUGGACGCUGCUGAUCCGGGGAGAGGAAGUGGGGGAAGGCAAGCAAAAGUCCCAGGUACCUGAAUUGCUCCUCAGAGGAUUCCCAGCUGAGAGGACCCCAGUUUGGGAGGUUAGGAGUAGGGUCCGCCAUCUCUGUUUUGUGGAGUCUGAAGUCCCAGGUUCAAGCCCAGCUUUUCUGUUCACAAACUUGGGCUCUUCCCCUCUCUGGUUAUCGCCUUCCUCAUCUGGCAGUGAUGAGGUGCGACCAGAGGAGGCCCAAAGGCCAGGUGGGCUCUAGAUCUACAAUUGCUGUGACUCAGGAGCCAAAGGAUGUGCUUCUGUCCACAAGAGCAUGGUACCACAUGGAGAUACAAAAGGAGGCACACACUCAGCUGGCCAUCCACCUAGGACACAGGAACACACAUCCACAUGGUGUCACCAAGACCAUACACACCCCCGGAAACACUAUCUAUCUCGCAUUUGGUGAUGGAAUCAGCAGACACCGUGCCCCUCCUCCAGGGCCAAGGAGUGGGAGAGCCAGCUGCAAAUGUGUCCAUUUGCAAAACCACCUCUCCUCUGGGUCUUCCCCAAGAGCACAGGACCCUUUCCUCCCUGGAGAGCUGAGGGCUGGAAGUGGGCUAGAGGUAGGGGAGGCAUUAAGGAAGGAGACCACUACUACUCCUGCUGUCCUCCUCCCCCCAUCUUGCCUAGUUCACAAGAGAGGAGGAAAGAGAGAAAGCAAAAAGUUGGAAAGAAACAGAAGGAAGAUAAAUAGCCAGACAACCUUGGCACCACCACCUGGCCCUAGGAGUUAAAAAAGUAAUAAUAGGCCGGGCGCGGUGGCUCACGCCUGUAAUCCCAGCACUUUGGGAGGCCGAGACGGGCGGAUCACGAGGUCAGGAGAUCGAGACCAACCUGGCUAACGUUGAAACCCCGUCUCUACUAAAAAAAUACAAAUAACUAGCCCGGCGAGGUGGCGGGCGCCUGUAGUCCCAGCUACUCGGGAGGCUGAGGCAGGAGAAUGGUGUAGACUCGGGAGGCGGAGCUUGCAGUGAGCUGAGAUCUGGCCACUGCACUCCAGCCUGGGCAACAGAGCGAGACUCUGUCUCAAAAAAAAAAAAAAA